CCGUUCUUGUCGGGGUGCCUUGAGUGAAAGGCUGAGAUCGGAUAAUCCGGAUCCCGUUGAACCUGAUCAGGUUAAGGCCUGCGUAGGGAACAAGAUGUGCUCGCCU
rnacentral:ncRNA from 2 species